GGGGAUGUGGCUCAAUGGUAAAGCCCUUGCCAACCAUGCACGAGGCCCUGGGUUCCAUCCCCAGCACCCACA
rnacentral:tRNA from 1 species